AAUUUCUCACAAAGCCCUUAAAAAUAAAACUUUCAUUAAAAUACCCUUCAGAGCUCAGAAAUACUUGCAAACACAUCAAAGGUCAUAAGAGUUCUAAUAAUCCAUCAGUUAAACUGCUGUGAUUUUUUUGUGUCUGUUCUUCUAUGUUCAUAUUAUCUUUCACAAUAUGAAUGAGUAACCUUAUAAAAACGUCCUGUAUGAAUUGUGGGGUUCUGUGCCCUGUCAGAUUCUGUGAUAAUCUGGGGAAGUCCUCUGGUACCUGCAUAUACCCCGAGCUGAGCUCUCACUCACACACUGCAGCCAGCCUGUGCGGCGAACCCAGCCUGGUGCUCUUGGAGACAGGGAGAUGCAAGAAAAUGAGUCUGGAAGAAAAUUGGUGAAUUCAAUCCAGAGGACCUACAAGCACUCUGACAGGCUCAGAGAGCAGAGUCUGUACCAAAGAGCAAUUACCCCACCAAACGAUUUCAGGUACAAUUGACCUAAAUAUAGCACUCUCUUGAGAUUAUUGACAAGAGUUCAUUUCCUGUAGUGCUUUUCCCA
rnacentral:lncRNA from 1 species